AUUGAACGCUGGCGGCAGGCCUAACACAUGCAAGUCGAGCGAGCGGCGGACGGGUGCGUAAUGUCUGGGAAACUGCCUGAUGGAGGGGGAUAACUACUGGAAACGGUAGCUAAUACCGCAUACCAUCAGAUGUGCCCAGGUGUGAUUAGCUAGUAGGGGGGGGAACGGCUCACCAAGGACACGAUCCCUAGCUGGUCUGAGAGGAUGACCAGCAACACUGGAACUGAGACACGGGCCAGACUCCUACGGGAGGCAGCAGUGGGGAAUAUUGCACAAUGGGCGCAAGCCUGAUGCAGCCAUGCCGCGUGUGUGAAGAAGGCCUUCGGGUUGUAAAGCAAUUGCAGCGGGGAGGCGUUACCCGCAGAAGAAGCACCGGCUAACUCCGUGCCAGCAGCCGCGGUAAUUC
rnacentral:rRNA from 1 species